AAUGAACGUUGGCGGCGUGGAUUAGGCAUGCAAGUCGAACGAAUCCUAAGAGUGUAGCAAUACAUUCGAGGGGGAAGUGGCGAAAGGGGCAGUAAUGUAUGGGUAACGUACCCUCAGGUCGUGAAUAGCCUUCCUAACGGUUGGGUAAUGCACGGAGUAAUCGCGAGGCGGCAUCGUCUUGCGAUUAAAGAAUUUCGCCUGGGGAGCGGCCCAUACCGUAUCAGCUAGUUGGCGGGGUAACGGCCCACCAAGGCUAAAACGCGUAGCGGGUGUGAGAGCACGACCCGCGCCACUGGCACUGAGACACUGGCCAGACUCCUACGGGAGGCUGCAGUCGAGGAUCUUCGGCAAUGGGCGCAAGCCUGACCGAGCGACGCCGCGUGUGCGAUGAAGGCCUUCGGGUUGUAAAGCACUGUCGAGGGGGAGGAAGCCGAAAGGUUGACCUAUCCCUGGAGGAAGCACGGGCUAAGUUCGUGCCAGCCGCCGCCGUAAUAC
rnacentral:rRNA from 1 species